UGGAUUAUAUAGGGAGGAGCCACUGUAGG
rnacentral:piRNA from 1 species